UACGGAGGGGGGCUAGCGUUGUUCGGAAUUACUGGGCGUAAAGCGCGCGUAGGCGGCUUUGUUAGUUAGAGGUGAAAGCCCAGGGCUCAACCCUGGAAUUGCCUUUAAGACUGCAUCGCUUGAACAUCGGAGAGGUAAGUGGAAUUCCGAGUGUAGAGGUGAAAUUCGUAGAUAUUCGGAAGAACACCAGUGGCGAAGGCGACUUACUGGACGAUUGUUGACGCUGAGGUGCGAAAGCGUGGGGAGCAAACAGG
rnacentral:rRNA from 1 species